CAAAGCCUGUGCGUACAAAGAAACAUCCAGGAAAGAGGCUGAGGUGAAGCCAGCAUGUGUAAGAGUCUUGAGUUUCUAAUAAUAUGAAGUUGCGGAGGAAUUAGUCUGGAGUCCCGCAUUCCAGCACUUGCAUUUCAGAUGCGGGCGAAGAAUUCAUCAAUGUUUACAUGAAACCUACACUACUGCUUAAAUGGAGAUCAGCAGUUACAGAAAUACUCAAACCAGCCCAUCUGGCACCAACAAUGAUGCACGGUUGAAAUCACUGAGAUCAAAUUUUUUCCCCCAUUCUGAUGGUUGAUGUGAACAUUAACUGAAGCUCCUGACCCAUAUCUGCAUGAUAUUAUGCAUUGCACUCCUACAACACGAUUUAAUUAACAACUACUUGUUAACUCAGAUAUAGAAUGCGGUUCUCACUCCCGUAAUUUCUGAACUGUGUGUGUACAGAACAGGAUUAAGCACUCAAAGUUGAAUAGACAACCAUAUUUAUCCUGCAGUGUGUAAGUGGCCAGAGAGACUCCUUACAAGACAAUGUGCAAUGCUCUUGUGUAGACUAGUGUAAAAC